UAAAGUAAAGGUUUAAAACGCCUGUUAAACUGAAAACAUCUGACAACUCCGUAACCAUAGAGCCACGUUUCUCUCCUGUCCUGCUGACCAGAUCCUGGGGAGUUUCAUUGUAUGUAAGCCCAGCCAUUGGCUCUUUGAACUCACUCCUCACAAGAGAACAGCAGCUGUUUAAUUCCAUCAGGCCACCUGUCCGUCGGACAAACCCACAGACUCCAGUUCCAGCUGAGUGUGUCCGUAAAUCACCUGCCUACAACAGCUGCUGGAGUUUGUCCAGGAAUGGUCCCAAACACCACAACUGACAACAGCUACGCUCCAUUGUCUGAGGCAAUCACCGGAGAGUGCUGUAAUGUUUUUAGUAACAGCUGAUUCUGUGGAACUGACUGACCCUGAAAUGAUCCAUCGCUAUCCACACACCGCCAGAUCUUGGACUGAUCAGAGCUCACCUGAGCUUUCAAGCCAGGCUCCCACGUAGUGACACAUCUCACCAGCAUCACAGCAGCGAGCAGAAACAAAAUGAGAAGCAGCAGGACACAUGGUAGCAGGAUGCGGAGGAGGAUGUUUGACUGUGGGGCCCUGCUGGAAAAAGAGAG